rnacentral:misc_RNA from 1 species
ACAGUCUACAGUGUAUAAUCAAAUAGUGUCGCUAGCAGCUAGUCGUAUCACUUGCUUGCGCGCGGUAUAUGUCGUCUAACGACGUGAUAUUGCUACCGCAAGGGCGUUAUUCCAUUAUUGUCGAACCGUCUCACGCGCCCAUGCAUGUAUAUGCAUCCAUGCGUGAUUCGUGAAAGGCCGCAAUGGAUUUCGUGCAGAUAAAGGAUAUCCGCGCGGGUCAGAAGAACAUCAAUGUAGUGUUUAUUGUUUUGGAGGUUAGCCACCCUACCAUCACUAAAGAAAACCGCGAAGUUCGAACGUUUAAAGUGGCGGAUCCUACUGCCUGCAUGAAUGUCUCCAUCUGGGACGAGCCCGGCCAGCUCCUGAUGCCAGGCGACAUCGUGCGACUCACCAAAGGUUACGCGUCCGUUUGGCGGCAAUGUCUGACCCUGUAUUCGGGUAAGAACGGAGAUAUUCAGAAGAUAGGCGAGUUCUGCAUGGUGAUCAACGAGCAGGUGAACAUGAGCGAUCCAAACCCGCUAUUGGCGCAGCAGUUGGUCAAUCAGAGCGGCUCGGGUCCGCCCAGCAGCAAUGUCAACAAUAGUAUCACCAAUAACGGCAAUGCCAACAGUAUCUCCGGUCAACCAGGACGGCAGCCUCCGGUAUAUAGAUCAUUAAGCACGCCGCCCGCGAUGAUUCCGUCGGCAGGAGUCAGCGCAGCACUGCAAGUCAAAGUAACACAGCGGCACCCGGUAGUGGAUCUACAAGUUCAACAACCGCGAAGAGCGGAAAUGGUGGCAGUGGUAGCGGCAACGGCGGCAAUAUCACCAGCGGCAGUGGAAGCGGCGGCGGGGGUGGUGGUGGCGGCGGUAGCGGAUCAGCAGGUCUCUCCGGUAGCUCGGUGCGAUACUCCUCAUCGGACUCGACGAAAACGGCGCCGACGGCGAAGAGCAACUCGCGCGGACGGGGCGGUUAUAGGAACGGCGGUCGUAGCGAUCGAAGAUAACACACGAAAAGAAAGCGACUAAUCAUAUGCGUAUAAACGAGCGACUGAAUAAACUGAUGUGCGCGAUAGAUCUACGCAAUUGUGAGCAGCGGCCAAUCAUCGUUUUGCGAUAUUCCCUAAAAGUGAGUACGCGAAGUUUCAUUCGUUUUGGUAAUGAUAUGCACUUGAUUUCACUUUCUUGAGCAAUUUUGUCACUGACAAUGUUUUAUUUAAAGUCUUGGAUUCUCCAAGAAUUCUUAAAAAAUUUCCUUUUUUCUUUAUUAAAAGAAAUAGCAAUCUUAACAAAUGCAAGAGUUUUUAUAUUUUUGGAAAUUCCUCGCAACACAAUUAAAUGAAUAGAAA